UACGAAGGGGGCUAGCGUUGCUCGGAAUCACUGGGCGUAAAGGGUGCGUAGGCGGGUCUUUAAGUCAGGGGGGAAAUCCUGGAGCUCAACUCCAGAACUGCCUUUGAUACUGAGGAUCUUGAGUUCGGGAGAGGUGGGUGGAACUGCGAGUGUAGAGGUGAAAUUCGUAGAUAUUCGCAAGAACACCAGUGGCGAAGGCGGCUCACUGGCCCGAUACUGACGCUGAGGCACGAAAGCGUGGGGAGCAAACAGG
rnacentral:rRNA from 1 species